rnacentral:ncRNA from 2 species
CAGAAAAACAUUCCAACGGGUGCCAGGGAAGCCGGUGGGAAUCCGGCGCGGUGCCGCCACUGUGAGGGGGAGCACCUGCUAAAGGAGCCACUGGUCCAGCACUCAGCAAGAUUUUUCCCCCUACGGGUUAAUAUCUUAAUAGUUUUAAUAAGAAGUAGCCUGAGUAGGGUAGAUAGGAGCUUGAGUGCCGGACUGGGAAGGCAGCAGGGAGCGUUGAACCCGAGCCAGGAGACCUGCCCGUGGGAUUGCACCGUA